UGUUUACGGCGUGGACUACCAGGGUAUCUAAUCCUGUUCGCUCCCCACGCUUUCGUCCAUCAGUGUCAGUGUAUUAUUAGUAAUCUGCCUUCGCAAUUGGUAUUCUAAGUAAUAUCUAUGCAUUUCACCGCUACACUACUUAUUCUAACUACUUCAUAAUAACUCAAGACAACCAGUAUCAAAGGCAAUUCUAUAGUUGAGCUAUAGGCUUUCACCCCUGACUUAAUUGUCCACCUACGGACCCUUUAAACCCAAUGAUUCCGGAUAACGCUUGGAUCCUCCGUAUUACCGCGGCUGCUGGCACGGAGUUAGCCGAUCCUUAUUCUUACAGUACCGUCAAGCCCCUACACGUAGAGGUGUUUCUUCCUGUAUAAAAGCAGUUUACAACCCAUAGGGCAGUCUUCCUGCACGCGGCAUGGCUGGAUCAGGCUCUCGCCCAUUGUCCAAUAUUCCUCACUGCUGCCUCCCGUAGGAGUCUGGUCCGUGUCUCAGUACCAGUGUGGGGGAUCCCCCUCUCAGGGCCCCUAUCUAUCGUAGCCAUGGUAAGCCGUUACCUUACCAUCAAACUAAUAGAACGCAUGGUCAUCUCUUACCGAUAAAUCUUUAAUAUAAAAACGAUGCCGUUUCUACAUACUAUAAGGUAUUAAUCCAAAUUUCUCUGGGCUAUCCCAAUGUAAAAGGUAGAUUCCAUACGCGUUACUCACCCGUGCGCCGGUCGUCAGCAAGUGCAAGCACCUCUGUUACCCCUCGACUUGCAUGUGUUAAGCCUGCCGCUAGCGUUCAUCCUGAGCCAGGAUCAAACUCU
rnacentral:rRNA from 1 species